ACAUAAUCAUGGCUUUGAAAUCACCCCUAGCCAAAAGGGGUUUAGCCACUCAUAUUUACAACAAAAUGAAAGGAAAUGAAUUUAAACAUUAGAAACAAAAGAACGAAAACACCUAAAUGCUCCAACGAUCCAAGUUGGACAGGAAGCACGUCCAAGCAUUUUCCUUCCCUUCCUUUGCUACGACACAAGGUGUUGGUGAGUGUUUGAAGGUUUGUUUGUAUGGAGGAAUGGAUGUGACGAUGAAUGAAUGUGUUUGGGUGAAGGUUGUAUUGAAAUGGGGAUGAAUGAUUAAGCGAAAACUCCACGAAAUUUAUGUUACACACACUUCCUUUUAUAGAGGAAGUGCAUGGCAAUGGAGGGGAACAUGGAGUGGUGUAGCAAUUGAGUGCAAUGAUUCAAUGUAAUGAUGCAUGAAAUCUGAAAUGAUGGAGGGAACAAGGAAUGAUGUAGCAAUUGAGUGCAAUGAUUCAAUGUAAUGAUGCAUGAAAUCUGAAAUAAUGAAGGGGACAAUGGUGGUUAUGCAUGGCAUGGGUGAAAAGGUGAGUAAGUGAUGAAUCAAUGAGUGCAAGGAGGUGAAAGGAUAUUGUGCACAUGGUAGACAAAGGAAAGGAAGUGGAAUGAUGCAACAAAAGUCAAUGGAGGGAACAUGGAUGAUGAUGCACGGCAUAGGAAUCCAAAGGGAGUGCAAUGGUGGUGCACGACAAUGAUGGAAAGGUGAAUGGUGGAGUGACACCCCUUUGUGGCUGAGCUCUUUGUCUUUUUUACAUUAAUUCUUCUUUCUUUUUAACACAUUCCUAGCCUCUUUAGUCUUCAAUUUCGUCCAUCCACCUUGCUCCAUGCAUGUGCUAUUCAUUCCAAGCCCAAAACUGCUUCAAAAUGCACCAAAAUGCAUCUUAUUACUUUAUAAGGCCUAUGGACCUACAAACACACGAAAAUAGCUUAAAAUACAUAAUUAACUAAGAAAUAACAACAUAAAUGCAUGAGAACAAGCUAACUCAGCCGCAUAAAUAUGCUCCUAUCAAAUUCCCUCACACAGCUUUUGCUAGUCCUCGAGCAAAACAAAACAAACAAAACAAACAAAACACAACCUAGAUCUUCCAACAUUUGCCUCAGGGAUUUUUAAUGAAACAUGACAUGUUAAAAAUCAUCAUUCCCACAGAUUUUGGUCAUCUUUACACUUGAGCACAUACUUAAUCAUAGUCACCACUUACUAGUUCACAAUUAACCAAUUAAAACAAUGUUUUGAAUGUAGUAACAUGCCUUAGAGAAUUUUCUCAAUUCCUUACAAGAUACUCUCUAUUUUCGCACACAUUUUCUGACUACACACCCUACACUAGUAUAUGUGAGAAGAUUGAUGUAAACACGAAAGACUAGGACUCACAUAUGUUAUAACAAAAAAAAAAGCAAUUUUCUGGAGUUAUUAAGCAUGUUUAGAUAUGAUCUCAUGAAUGGAAUGCUACUACUUAGAUGCGAGAACCAGCGACACCAUAUGCUCAUACCAAUUUCGAACUCCACAAAUUGAAGCACACAACACUCAAGAUUGAAGUCAAGGGUUGUAACAAGGCUUGGGGGUAAUGGCUAACAAAGAAAGGAUAGGGAUAACAAACGUUCUUAAAGCGAUAGCAAGCAAAGCAAUGAAAUAGACACUUGGAAAUCACUUUAGAAUGCAAAAUCAACUUUUAAAUGCAAAUGGAAGAUUCAUGCAACACUUAGGGCCGAAUUCAAUGUUUUGAACCCUUUCUUUAACAAACAACACUUUAGAGCUCAUUUUCAUACUUUUUUUUUCAAUUCUUUUAUUUUAUUUUAUUUAUUUUAUUUUCUUUUUUCAUAUAUUUUUUUUCUUUUCUACCUGUGCCUUAUUAAGGACUUUGGCACACACACACAUACAAGAAUCACUUCCCCCACACUUGCUUUAUGUAAUACAUUGAUAAAAAAAAGAGUUCAUUUUAAGUCAUGCUUUACUAUGCUUCAAGAAUAAGGGUAUGGAUGGUCCUAAAACUAGGCUAGGUAAGGAUAGUGUGGAUUAACAAAGAAUAUAGGCUUAACAAGGUUCAACGGGGUUAAACUUAAACACAUAAUGAAAUAGGAUAGGCUUUUUGGCUCUUGGCUCACUAAACAACUUCAUCUUGAAUAUGUGUUAUGCAAAUCAAUAAGAUGCUUUGAAUGAAAUAGGCAUGAGUUCUAGCAUUUUGAACUAAAUGAUGAAACACCUUCUAAGUAGCAACCAAGCAAAGAAUAAUGAGAUCAUGCAAUGACUUUAGAAAACAACAAUGCACAGAUUAUUAACUCUCCAAAUAAAGGUUUUAGGCUCAAGUCUCACAAGGUUGUAGCGUUACUUUGAGUUCCUUCCUUCAAGCAUGUUUCAAACUGAUUUUUUCCUUUAUGAUUGCAUGUGAAUUCAUAAAUUAUAAUCACAACCAAGCAUACACCAAAGAGUAAAUCAAUUUUCAUCCAUGUUUAUAACUCUCUUUAACAGUCAUGUAAUUAAAAAUCAAAUCAUCAUCAUUGUGUUGGAAGGUACCCUAAGACACAAAUAAACACACAAAAACAACUCUUUUUGGGUUUUUCAAAACAAUUUUUCAAAUUUUUAUGAGAUUUUCGGAUUUUUAUGUCAAAACACACUAAAACACUCCAAAACAGCUUAAAAACACUUAAAACAGCAAGGAACAACACUAGAAGUAAUAGGUGAUAAACUCCUACGAAUUUCAUGCAAAACCACUUGGUUACCCCCCCCCCCACACUUAAAUCAAACAUUGUCCUCAAUGUUUCAAGCAUAAACUCAUACAAAAACAAGCAAACAAACAAACAAAGAAUAAACAUGACAAGUAUAGCAAAGUAAAAACCAGACAUAGUAGAGUUUAAGAAUGCAAAUCUGGUUUUGGAGAUAGAUGAUCUUGUUGACUUUCCAUAGCUUUGAUCUCGAACUAGUUUGGAAUUCUGAGCGAGGAAUAUCAGAGUUCCUUGGUUUCAAAUCAGACUCCUUCUGCUGGGUUGAUUUGAUUGUGCAAUCUGCAUUCUUCUCUGCUUGUUUCUUCUGCACGGCAGGCAGACAUGAGGUAGAGGUGAUGGUCUGUUUCUUUUUUCAAUCUUUCCAAGUGCCCACAAUUUCCUUUCUUUCUCCUUGUCCCUAGCUGAGGAUGAAUUAGCACAUUGUCUCCACAUGCUUCGAGGUAUCAUUUUCACUUCCCUUAUCUGUUCCCCAGACGAAGAGGAAGCAUAAGAUGUUGAAGAUGAGUACUCGAGAGCAAGGCUAGGUAAGCAAUCAGGAAGGGGUUCCAGGUAGUCGGUUCCAGAUCGGAAGAUUGAUACCAAGUGCUGGCUGAUUGCUCUCUUUCUCAUUGUCUCGCAGAUGAAAACAACGACAAGGAGAAGGAUAGGGAGAAAACAUGAUAUGAGAUACUCUUACUUUCAACCUUCAUGAUAUGAAAUACUUUUGCUUUGGAUGAGUUGUUUGCAGAGGUACCCAAAGGAAUAAGGAACACUAGUGACUCGAGAGGCUUCGUUGGGAAGGCAUUCUCAGAGAUGAAGAAAGGUUAUGUAUGUCUGCCUUGCAAUGGAGGGUGAAGGUUGACAUUUAUAGGAAUUAAUAACCGAUACUAUUCUUUCACUCUUGUCGGAAACUGUUGGAUGAUUUAACAAUAAACUUCACGUGCCUUCUACUUCACAAGAAAUCUUAGACAAAUUUCCCGUAAUUUCCGCAAGGCUGAGUGUGCAUAUGACAGGCGCUAACACGUCUGGAAAAGCAAGUGCCUCUUCGAUAUCUGGAAUCAGCGCUUCGACAAAUUGCCCGUGAUUUCCACAAAGCUGAGUGUGCAUGUGACAGGCGCUGACACGUCUGGAGAAGCAAGUGCCUCUUCGAUAUCUGGAAUCGGUGCUUCGACAAACUACUCGUGAUUUUUGCAAAGCUGAGUGUGCAUGUGACAGAUGCUGACACGUCCGGAAAAGCAGAUGCCUCUUCGAGUUCUGAGCUCCGUCGAGUGCACAGGUUGCAUGUGACAAGUACGGAAAAAUCUGGAAAAGAAGAUUGGCCCGUGGUUUCUGAGCAAGCCCAGCUUUUGAGAAAGCUAGCGCCUCUUCGAUUUUUGAAUUGGCCUUUUCGAUUUCUGAGCUCGCCUCUUCGAUCUCUGAAAUCUCGUCGAGUGCUGGUUUUUAUAGAGGUGCGUAGUACAUUUCAAAGCACACUUGAAUUUCUGCCUGUAGAAACUCCCUUCUUGCACUUCUACGAUUUUGACUUGUCUGACCUCUUAUUUCUUCAACACCUUUGAAAAUGUCUGGUCCCUCUGACCGUCGUUUUGACUUGAACCUUGGUGAAGAGGCAACCAUGCAUUAUCCAGACAACAUACGGCGCCCAUCCUUCAUAUCCCUUACUGGUCCUCUUACCGUUGGGGAUUCGGUGAUGAAGAAUGAUAUGACCGUUGCAGUGGUGGCCCGGAACCUUGUCACUCCCAAAGAUAACAGACUACUUUCCAAACUGUCUGAUGAGUUGGCUGUUAAGGAUUCUCUGGCUCUCAGUGUGCAGUGUGCAGGUUCUGUGUCUAAUAUGGCCCAACAUCUAUUUGCUCGAACCCGUCAAAUUGAAUCAUUGGGGCUGAAGUGAUGAGUCUCAAACAAGAGAUUAGAGGGCUCAAGCAUGAGAAUAAACAGUUGCACAGGCUUGCACACAACUAUGCUACAAACAUGAAGAGGAAGAUUGACCAGAUGCAGGAAUCUGAUGGUCAGAUUUUACUUGAUCAUCAGAGGUUUGUGGGUUUGUUCCAACAACAUUUGCCUUCGUCUUUUGGGGCUGUACCGCGUAGUGAAGCUCCAAAUGAUCAACCUUCGAUACCUCAUUCUUCUGUGGCUCCGCCUACUGCUGAGACUCCGCCGACUACAGAGACUUCUCCUAAGCAGCCUUUGUGAAGGCUCCCUCUGUAUUUUUCUGCCUUUUGUUCAUUUUCAACGAAUUUUAAUGUAAAAAUACCUUGCAUAUCUAUCAAUGUUUCAAAAAUAAACCCACACCAAAAACAAUUAAACAAGUAACAAAUAAAAAUGACAAUCAUGGCAAAAUAAAAAUGCAGAAAAUGGAAGGUUUUUAGAAACGCAAAACUGAUUGUGGAGCGAUUCAAAGAUCUUCAUUUUUUUGAAUACAUGGGUUGCCUUCCAAGAAGCGCUUGCUUUAACGUCUUCCAGCCGGACGAAACUUCCUUCUAAGCUUGGAUAGGGCCUAUAACAUGGAAUUGAUCCUUAAAUGGAAGGUGAUACUUGACGUGAUCUGGCAAUGGUUUAAAUUCUAGUGUAGGUGUCUGAAUCAUCAAAAUCAGCAAGUUUGUAUAAAAUAAAAUCAAAGUUGGAAAAGAUGGCUUACUUGCUUGCUCCGACACAAACUCAAUUUCGAACACCAUAUCUUUGAAGGUUGCAGGGAUAUAGGACUUGGCCAGAUUUGGUGUUUUGAGAGUUAUGACUUGUCCCGUGUCAUAAAAUCCAACUUUUUUGGAAUUUUUCGUCUCAAGUGUAUCUUCUUUGAUGAAUUCUAGACAUUCCCCAUCCACUUCUUGCUCUUGAUUCUUUGGAAAGGUUUCGAAGAUGCCUUUCUCACCCUCUUCUUCCUUGGAUUGCUUGAUCCUGCAAGGAAUAAGGACAUUUGGUGAAACGGGGUCAAGACGAAUUGAAUUUAGGCUUACCUUGGUUGUAGUGGACGGCAUAGAGGGCAUAUGAGGCUGCAGCAAGGGUGGUUCUUCCCUUGCCAUGGCCUUGUUAUUCUCCUCUUCUUUGAGCAUUAGUUGUUCAACCAUGUUUUGUCUUGGUUUAGAUGUCUUGGGUUCACCUCUAACCUCCAUAGCACUUCCCAAAGUGAUAGCAUCAUGGAUUUCAAAAUCUUCCUUCAAAUUUUCAAUAGUUGAGUUGGAGAGUUCACUUUGCUCUUGAAUUUGUGCCAUGAACUCCAUAAUCUCUCCAAGUUGAUUUUUCAAUUCGCUCAUCUCCUUAGCUUGAUUGAGCAUUGUUUCAUUUUGAUUUUGCUGCCCUUGCACCAAAGAGGUUAGUAAUUGAAAAAUUGAUCACUAUCCGUGGACAUACUUGAAUUUGAUUGGAUUUGUUGUAGGGGAAGCUGUGGUGGCUGCAUAGGUGUUAAAUAAAACUCCUCAGACUGCUGCCAAUAUCCAUCUUGUUGAGCCUCCUUGGUUUGAUUUUGUGAGCCCUGCACCAAAGAAUUUAUUUCAUAAAAAAUUCGAUCAUAAUCUAUUGACGAACCUGAGUGUGAUUGAGCAUAUUGUAUAUGAGGUUGUGAUGGUUGCAUAGGUCUUGAAUGGAACUCCUUUUCUUGCUGCCAAUAUACAUCUUGUUGGAAUUGUUGAGGUUCUAUGUAAUAUGAAUAAUCUCUCCAAUUCGAAUUGUAAGUGUUGGAAAACAUGUUGUCCCAUGAUUGGCUAUGACCUUGAUAACCCCAAGCAUCUUCAUUCGCAGCGAAUUGAGAAUAUUGCUGAGUUGGAUAUCCUUGCCCAUAGGACACACCACAUGUAGGGACACUUUGCAUUGUGGUCCUUUCGGCAUAUUGUGACAAUUGAGAAGUAAGUUCCGCCAAUUGAGCUUGAAUGGUAGCAAAAUCCAUGUCUUACUUCUGUAGUACCUGAAAUUAAGGAAAAAUAACUAAAUCAAAUAUCAAAAGUAAAACAAAAAAAAAAAAAAAAAAAACACAAACAGAAACAAAAUCAGUAACUAAAAAAAAAAGACACGAAAAUAAACAAAAAGAAAUAACAAAGGAUUAACAAAGUUGCUAAUCCCCGGCAACGGCGCCAAAAACUUGAUGCGAAAAUGAUCUUAACACACAAAUUUAACCCUCUUUUGACAAUUGUAGUACAAGUAUAAGUAGGGAUCGUUCUGGACCGGGGAUUAGGAGGGCUUGCUAAUAACCUCUAAACUAACUCAAAAACAUAAAACUAAACUUAAAAACACUUAACAAGACUCACAAGACUCAAAGCAAACUUAAAAUACUCAAAACAGCUUAAAGAAACCAAAUAAACUUAAACUAGACACUAGGAAUGACUUUGGACGAAAAUUGACUACUAAAACAGAUUUGAAACACUUUGAAACAAGAAACUAAAAGGGGAGUUUUGAUUUGGAUGAAGUUGAAACAAACAAACAAGUAUGAAAAACUAGACAGAUUGUAAAACAAAUUUGAGAAAUAAGAUUAUGGAUGCGAUAGCUAGAGACUUUUUCUCCACACAUGACAUGUAUGCAAAUAACUUGAUUUUCAGUUACUACUUCAUUGAAUUAUGAACGACAAUGCACCAAAUUAACCGUGACAUCACUAGUUAACUCUCAGAUUUUCCUUGUUUUAUUGGAUUGGAUGACAUCAUUCGACAACCCAAAACAUUCUUCAAAAGUUCCCUACAUGACAUCAUAAUAGAGAUACAAUCAAAGAUCAUUACGUUUAAUGAAAAUCAUAAGCAUUGACAAAGCACUUGCAACUAUGACAUCAUGUCACUCAUGCUAGAAUUAAACUUAACGCGAUCGUUUAUAAGCGACCUCCACUACUUAUGAAUAUAAGUUUGUAACGAUUAUGUGAAACUUUCUUAUAUUCUAGCAUCGGAUUUAUGCAUGCCAAUUAAGUGUCGACCCUUAAUCAACAAAUACAAAUAAGUUAUCAAUCAAAUAGUUAAGCCAAUUGCAUUCACGAUUCAAGAGUUCAUAACUGGAAUUUAUCAAAUUAUAUUGCACACAUAAUCAUGGCUUUGAAAUCACCCAUAGCCAAGAGGGGUUUAGCCACUCAUAUUUACAACAAAACGAAACGAAAUGAAUUUAAACAUUAGAAACAAAAGAAAGAAAACACCUAAAUGCUCUAACGAUCCAAGUUGGACAGCAAGCACGUCCAAGCACUUUCCUUUCCUUCCCUUCCUUUGCUACGACACAAGGUGUUGGUGAGUGUUUGAAGGUUUGUUUGUAUGGAGGAAUGGAUGUGAAGAUGAAUGAAUGUGUUUGGGUGAAUGUUGUAUUGAAAUGGGGAUGAAUGAUCAAGCGAAAACUCCACGAAAUUUAUGUUACAGACUUCCUUUUAUAGAGGAAGUGCAUGGCAAUGGAGGGGAACAUGGAGUGGUGUAGCAAUUGAGUGUAAUGAUUUAAUGUAAUGAUGCAUGAAAUCUUAAAUGAUGGAGGGAACAAGGAAUGGUGUAGCAAUUGAGUGCAAUAAUUCAAUGUAAUGAUGCAUGAAAUCUGAAAUAAUGAAGGGGACAAGGGUGGUUAUGCAUGGCAUGGGUGGAAAGGUGAGUAAGUGGUGAAUCAAUAAGUGCAAGGAGGUGAAAGGAUAU
rnacentral:lncRNA from 1 species